rnacentral:rRNA from 1 species
CCUACGGGAGGCAGCAGUGGGGAAUUUUGGACAAUGGGGGCAACCCUGAUCCAGCAAUGCCGCGUGAGUGAAGAAGGCCUUCGGGUUGUAAAGCUCUUUUGUCAGGGAAGAAACAGCAGCUCUAACACAGACUGCGAAUGACGGUACCUGAAGAAUAAGCACCGGCUAACUACGUGCCAGCAGCCGCGGUAAUACGUAGGGUGCGAGCGUUAAUCGGAAUUACUGGGCGUAAAGCGUGCGCAGGCGGUUAUACAAGACAGGCGUGAAAUCCCCGGGCUUAACCUGGGAAUGGCGUCUGUGACUGUAUAGCUAGAGUGUGUCAGAGGGGGGUGGAAUUCCACGUGUAGCAGUGAAAUGCGUAGAUAUGUGGAGGAACACCAAUGGCGAAGGCAGCCCCCUGGGAUAACACUGACGCUCAUGCACGAAAGCGUGGGGAGCAAACAGGAUUAGAUACCCUGGUAGUCCACGCCCUAAACGAUGCUGACUAGUUGUUGGGAAUUUACAUUCUCAGUAACGUAGCUAACGCGUGAAGUCAGCCGCCUUGGGGAGUACGGUCGCAAGAUUAAAACUUAAAGGAAUUGACGG